AUUGAACGCUGGCGGCACGCUUAACACAUGCAAGUCGAGCGGUAACAUGGGUAGUAGCAAUACUAUCUGAUGACGAGCGGCGGACGGGUGAGUAACACGUAGGAACUUGCCCAGUAGAGGGGGACAACCAAGGGAAACUUUGGCUAAUACCGCAUAUACUCGAGAGAGGAAAGCUGCCAGCAAUGGUGGCGCUAUUGGAGAGGCCUGCGUCCGAUUAGCUAGUUGGUGAGGUAAUAGCUUACCAAGGCGAGGAUCGGUAACUGGUCUGAGAGGACGACCAGUCACACUGGGACUGAGACACGGCCCAGACUCCUACGGGAGGCAGCAGUGGGGAAUCUUGGACAAUGGGGGCAACCCUGAUCCAGCGAUGCCGCGUGAGUGAAGAAGGCCUUCGGGUCGUAAAGCUCUUUAGGCUGGGAAGAAGGUUAGUAGUUUAAGAGAUAACUAGCUUGACUGUACCAGCAGAAUAAGCACCGGCAAACUCUGUGCCAGCAGCCGCGGUAA
rnacentral:rRNA from 1 species